rnacentral:rRNA from 1 species
GACGAACGCUGGCGGCGUGCUUCACACAUGCAAGUCGAACGGAAAGGCCCUUCGGGGUACUCGAGUGGCGAACGGGUGAGUAACACGUGGGUGAUCUGCCCUGCACUUUGGGAUAAGCCUGGGAAACUGGGUCUAAUACCGGAUAGGACCACGGCAUCCAUGUGCUGUGGUGGAAAGCUUUUGCGGUGUGGGAUGGGCCCGCGGCCUAUCAGCUUGUUGGUGGGGUAAUGGCCUACCAAGGCGACGACGGGUAGCCGGCCUGAGAGGGUGACCGGCCACACUGGGACUGAGAUACGGCCCAGACUCCUACGGGAGGCAGCAGUGGGGAAUAUUGCACAAUGGGCGCAAGCCUGAUGCAGCGACGCCGCGUGAGGGAUGACGGCCUUCGGGUUGUAAACCUCUUUCGCCAGGGACGAAGCGCAAGUGACGGUACCUGGAGAAGAAGGACCGGCCAACUACGUG